rnacentral:rRNA from 1 species
UACGGAGGGUGCAAGCGUUAUCCGGAUUUACUGGGUUUAAAGGGUGCGUAGGCGGGCCCUUAAGUCAGUGGUGAAAGCUCCGAGCUUAACUCGGAAACUGCCAUUGAUACUAUAGGUCUUGAAUUCGGUCGAGGUUGGCGGAAUGUGUCGUGUAGCGGUGAAAUGCUUAGAUAUGACACAGAACACCGAUUGCGAAGGCAGCUAGCUAGACCGACAUUGACGCUGAGGCACGAAAAGCGUGGGGAUCAAACAGG